rfam:Corynebacterium casei LMG S-19264, complete genome.
AGCUUUUUUCGCCCAGGCGGAGCUCGACCGCAAACUCCGGUAGUCGUGGAUUUCAUUCGCACCUAUCGGCAGCGCUUCGGGGUCGAGUCAAUCUGUGCCGUGCUCACCGAGCAUGGCAUCACGAUUGCCCCA